CUGUGGGGAGGAGAAAUGUCUCCCUGUCCGUUGCAGAGAAAACAGAACAAUCCCACAUCAAAGCUGUCCUAGAGAAGUACUUGCUGUUUGUCAUUCCGGUUCUAGAGCAGCCCCAUGUGCUGUUAAAGGUUGUGGUGGUGCGGGUCAGGGAUCCCCAGGCUGUGCCGAGACCGCAGGACGGCUGCUGGUGGAACAAAGUCAAGGACAACUUCUCAGAGACAGGCGAUCCGGAGGGAAAGAAGGACAGAGAGAAGAGAGUUGGAAAAACUGGCAAUGUUUUACUAAUGCUAUAUUAAGAGUAGAGAAAAUAAUACAAAACCAAUCCUGAAAGUCUCAGCAACUGCAGAGCCGGCACCUGAAGUCCUGGACUGGACUCUGCAGCCAACCGGAGCUGGAUUCAGUCUCUCAGCAGGCCUCAGUUUGCAGGGACGACUAGCAAGGUCCUCUCCUAAUGUCACCAUAAGCAGAAGGGACGAAAAGGGGCAAAGAGGACAAGAUCCUCAUGAUCUCCCACUUCUAUAUGAAGUAUUCAUGUGAAGGGGAUGUUAUACACGGUUGGUCAGUUUGUUGGUCACCUGUUUCUUGUUGCUCCUCUUGCAAGAUGUGAAUCUGUCCUUAUCAACAAGUAAGCAUUCCAUUGCAAUGUUUACCAAAACAUGUAUGUAUCUGGUUCUCCAGGAAAAUGCAGCUAAUAUGAAGCUUUAGCUGACAGGCAAAUUCACUGAAAGAGAAACUUGUUUUUUAAUGAAACCAGGACAGCCCCCUCCCCAAUCCCCUCAGGACUCCUCUGAUUCCCAUCUGCUCCUCUCAGGACAGCUGAGCUUGUCUUUUGGGGCCCCUGAGAGCCCCCAUUUACCUUCUUUUACCUACCUUUGUUGUUGUUCCCAGCCUAUCCUGGUGUUUUCCAUCCUUCAGGACUUACUUAUUACUGUUGUGAGAGUCCGAGAGAAAAGGAAGAGUGUCUGUGACUUACAACUGUCGUUGUUGAUCUACAGUGUUUUAGAGACGGAUUCUUGCAGGAUCUAUUUCUGGUUCGUCCUUCACUCCUCCCCAGACCGCAGCGCUGGUCCGAGUUCCCCAGCACACGUGUGUGUGUCCAGCCGGGUACGCUGGGGGAGCGCGUCAGGGCGGGCAGACGGCUGAAUGGACGCGCUGUCAGCGACUGCGGAACGAGCUGGGGCUGCUUUGACCGUGUCCAGCCUUGUGCGUGUGGUUUGUUUUCACUUGCAGGCUGAAACAGCAGUUUCCUUAAUUAAAAACACCCCAGCAUGUCCCCCGGCCCCCAACAAAAAUAACGCCAAAAAUGCCACUGAAAGAAACACAGGGAGUUUUUAAAAAAUUUCCUUUAGCUUUCUCCCCCCUCCACCCCUACCCUGCUGCGUUCAGUGCAGUGAAUGACCGUGAGGAGAUGGCUGUGGAUCUGGCUGUUGAAGGGUGUGUGAAGGAGAAGGAGGUGUGUGUAGAGCAGGAUUGGUGGUGGAGGUGAGUGCAGCUGGUUUGGGUGUGGGGCUGUAAAUUCUUUUUGGAGGCUUCCUAGUUUCUGGUGUCACCUGCGGGGUGAAGUGUGACUCUGUGCAGGUUUGAAAGGUGCCACGUGCAGAGCUCCCUCAUUUGCCACCAGAUCUCCCAAUCACAGAGACAGCGUCGCUGUGCAGCUGCUAAGGACAGCGCGUCUCGUGCAGAACAGCAUCCUUUGUGCUCCGUGUGCGUGUUCCUCCUUUGAAAUGAAGUUGGGCCGCCCGGUGUUCCACGUUACGUGUGGUACCUGCUGGGCUGAGUCUCCUCCCCGCGCUCCGGUCGGUUCCGUCGCGCUGCCGCAGCCCCGGCAGCACCGCGGCGUUCGCUGGACGCGUUGUUGGCGGAGCCGGCACCGACAAUCUUGACACGUCGAGGCGCUGCGGUGGGUUUGCCUGGAAAUUCCAAGGUAAUUCCAAGGCAGACAGUAAUAAUCCCCAAUUUAUGUAGUAAAAUUUAAAAGAGUGGAAUAUAAAUACUGGAGCACUAAUUGGAAGUAAUACCUGUAGAGAAAAAAACCUCUAGUUUAUAUCUACAAUAAAAAAUAAUGUGUGCUAGUAAAUCCGCCUGGUAGUAAUGUAAUGAUAAAAAUGUUAAAGUGUAAAUAGAUGAAAUUAUAUAGGCAUGAGCAAGAAGUAAAUUUAAUUUCAGCUAUUACUUGGUGAACUAGGCAGCAGUUGUUCCCAAUCUGAAUGCUAGUUUAAAAAACACAUUGUUUGGAAUUCCUUUUAAAUGAUAAAGGCAGAAAACUAAUGUGGAGUCAUUGGUAGCUUCAUUUGAACAACCGUUAUGAAAUAAACCGCAGACACGAAUGACUGCAUAGGAAACAAAGUGAGGAAGCUUUAGAUUUUAAACAGCAUUGGAAAGUGAUCGGGAGUGUUUAGUAUUUAAAUUAUAACAGAGCCAUGAGAUGGGAGGCAACAAAGCUCAGAACCAAACAGAGUCAAAACGUUACAUUUCUUUUUUUAAAGAGAAGUAUAAAGGAACCACGAAGUAGUGGCUGUUUAUAAACAGGGGUAUUAAAAAGUUCCCAGGCAGUAAUGAUUCCCAACAGAACACUAAAAGAUAUUUAGAUGUAAAAUAAUAUUAGAAAACAGUUAUGACAGUCUGAAUUUAACCACAGCUUUUUUGGGGUUGUGCAAAAACAUGACCGCUAUUAAUUACCUCUGAGUUAAAAUAAAAAGACAUCAAACUAGAUGUGAUUAACAACAGCUAAUUUUAAUUUUUCAGUGUGCUAUCCAGUCCGGCUUCUCCCUCCAAGGGCGUGGUCUGAGAAAGCCACACCCCCAACUCCACCCCGUCCAAGCUCCGCCCCUGCCAGUCUGUGCCCUCCCCGAGGCGCGUGUCCCUUACAGACCCCUCCCAGCAGCAUAAUGCAUCGAAGCCCCGCCCGCGGCUCCACCCCUAAACUCAGCCCCUGCUAAACCACGCCCCCUCAGAGCACGUGCUGUGCAGAGCCCACUCUACUCUCGGCUCCACCCCUCCCUUCCUAAGCUACGCCCUCUUUGGGCGUGUCGUUCUCCCUACCCCAAGCGGCUCCUCCUAUGGGGGUGUGACACACGGAGGCCCCACCCCCUGCCCAGUUGCCCCAGGUGGGCCUCCCAAUGGGUGUGUCCUCCCAGUCCCCGCCCCUCAGCACGGAUCCCACCCCCGUGGGUGGGGCUACACCCAGCUGCGCGCGCGGCCCCCCCACCCAUGCGUGACCCUAAGUAACCCCAUGGCAGCCCUAUGGCUGCCCCACAGGUACCGCUACAGCAGCCCUGCUCCUGCCCCGCAAGAGCUCCAGACACGCCUCUGCAGAGCCCCCACAGCAGCCACUUCAGUGCCCCACAGCUAUCACCGCAGCCGCCCCAUCCCGCCCCACGGCCGCCGCUGCGGAACCCCUGGAGCCCCCGGCCCCACACCCGCCCCGCAGCCCCACAGCGCGCGGUCUCGCGGCCGCGGUGCCGGUGAAGCCACGUGCCGGCCGCGGCCGGAGGAGCCGCCGGUUUUCCCCCCCCCACACCCCGAUCGCUGCUGCCGCGGCCGGAGGAGCCGCCGGUUUCCCCCCCACACACCCCCCGAUCGCUGCUGCUGCGGCCGGAGGAGCCGCCGGUUUUCCCCCCCCACACCCCGAUCGCUGCUGCCGCGGCCGGAGGAGCCGCCGGUUUCCCCCCCCCACAUCCCCCGAUCGCUGCUGCUGCCGCGGCCCGAGGAGCCGCCGGUUUUCCGCCCAGCCCCGACUCUCCUCCUUCCUCCUCAAUCGCCGCUGCAUGCCGACACGAUGCCUUCUCUUCCGCCAUCUUGUUUCCCCCUUCUCCUCUCAUUCGCUAUUUUAUACCGAGGGAGGGAGGAGGCGCUCGCUGAUUGGCUGACAGUGUCAGACUCGGAAGUCGUCCAUUGGCUCAUCCCCACGAGGGGUUCUCCGAGGGGGUGGGAGAAAGGCGCUGAUUGGUCACCGUGUCGCUGAGGGGAGGAAGGCACUGAUUGGUCACUUUCCGCCGAAGUUCGCCCUCCCAGUAACAGGCGCUGAUUCGCUAGCGCCCCUGAGGUAGAAAAGGCGCUCAUUGGUCGGCGUUUUCUCGCCGACGUUAGCCCACAGCAACGAAGCGCUGAUUGGGCAGCGCGGCUGACGGGGCGGAUCGUCCAUUGGAAGGAGGGCGGGCGGGGGGCGGGACCGGGCGGGACAACGAGGUAAUAAAUGGGGCGGCGCAGAACGCGCGCAGGACCAGAAAGGCGGAGGCGGCAGCGGCAGCGCGAGCUCAUCGGCCCCCCCCCCCCCCCCCCCCCCCCCCCCGCCCGCCGCGGGAAACCGGAGAACGGCAGGAACGGCGGCCGGAAUCAGUUAACGGGGCGGGUCAGGGCGGUAAUUAUCGUGCGGGUGUUAAUUGGGGCUCGGCGGGUUAAUGAGUGACCGGCGGGCUGGGGUGUAUCUGGGGGUUUUGAUCGGAACUGGGGUUUUAAAGCCGCGGGUUUGGGGGGGGGCGGGGGCGAUUAAGGCUCCCGAAGCCGCUUUAGCGGCUUAAAUCGUUGUGUUGAACGCGGGAGGAGCCGGUUCGGGGCUUUUCUCAGCAAGCGGGGCUGGUUUGGGUCUAAUUCGGCUUUUAAAAGAUGUUUUUACGUAAUUUUUGGGUGCCGAUUUGUGCCAGAAGGCGCCUUUGAAAUCUGUUUAUUGAGGGUUUAUCAGGAGAAUUAAAGUUUAAAGCUCGGGGAGAUUUGGGGCUUUUCCCCGGGAUUUUGAGUCCAAAUCGGUUUUUUUAGAGCCCUUAUUUAUUUAAAUUGUUAUGUUUAAAGGGUUUAUUUGAGGUUUUAUUUGGAACAUUUUGGGCGGGUCUGACGCUCCUAAGAUUUAAUUGUUGGUUUAUUAUUUGAUUUAUUAUUUCACUGCGGUUCGGGGCUCCUGAAGACGCUGAGUUGUUUCAAUUAUUUAGCGCUGUGAGGAGCCGUUUUGGGGCCGUUGGGGUCUAAAUCGGCUUUUUGAAAGGUUUAUUUAACGCGUUUAAAGUUUGAGGGGCCGAUUUGCGACUUUAAAGCUUUUUGAAUCUACUUAUUGAUAAGAAUUUAUACAAUAGAUUAAUAUUUAAAGCCCGGGGGGAGAUUUGGGGCUGUUUCCCAGGAUUGCGAGUCCAAAUGCGUUUUUUUCUGUUAACCGCUUAUUAAUUUACAUUAUUAUAUUUAAACGGGGCUUUUUGAGGUUUUAUGAGGGUUUUUUUGAGCAUUUUGGGCGGUUCUGAGGCUCCUAAAGCCGCUUAAUUGUUUAAAUUAUUAAUUGUUAAAAUAAUGUAAGUAGUUGUUGAAAUAAGUGUGUAAGUUAUUGUAUUUAAAGCCGGGAGGGGCAUUUCGUUGCUUUUUGGGGGGUUUUAGGGCUGAAUUCACUUCAUUGAACGUGUCUAGAGCUGGGGGUCCCAGAUCUGGUGCUGAUUUGGCCCCAAAAAAAGCUUUAAAAAUCUAUUUCUUUAUAUAAUUUACUGAAUUAAUAUUUAAGCGGGAACAUGUUCGGCUUUUUUAACCCGCCGCCAUUUUGUCUCCCCCGUCCCGCUCUCCCUCACGCUGAGGGGGCCGAGGAGACGCUCGCUGAUUGGCCGGUGCCGUCUGGCGGGAAAGCCUCCCCCGGCUCAGCCCCGCUCGGCUGUCUCCGAGGGAGAGAAAGGCGCUGAUUGGUCGCUGCCUCUGAGGAGAGAAAGGCGCUGAUUGGUCGCCGCCUCCCUAAACCCACCUCCUGCGCAGAGAACAGCGAAGGCAGCCUGGCCACGCCCCCUCCGGCUGACCACGCCCCCCGCUCCGGCUGACCGCGCGUGCCCCCCCCCCCCCCCCCCCCCCGCAACUCGGCUGACCGCGUGCCCCCCCCAACUCCGGCUGACUGUGCCCCCCUGCCCCCCGGCUGAUCCCGUGCCCCCCCCACUGCACUCCUGCUGACUGUGCGCCCCCCCCACCUCCUCCGGCUGGCCACAUCUCCACUGCACACCAUGGCGGGGAUGGGGCGGGGGGGGAUCACAAGGGUCUAUGGGGCGGUGUGGGGGUCAGGGCGGCUGUGGGGUCAAUGAGGUUGUUGUGGGGUGAAACACCCCUGAAGAGGCUGAACACCUUGCAGGUGAGUGACCCACACAGUGCCCCACAGUGCCCCAUAGCACCUCCACUCUGCCCUACGGAUCCACAACACUGCCCCACAGCACCCUAUAGCUCCUGCUUGCUAUCCCACAGCACCCCAUGGCUUCUCCACUCUGCCCCAUAUGUCUACAGCAGUGCCACAGAGUACCUCAUAUGUCUUCCACUCUGCCCCAUGGGUGCAGAGUGCUGCCCUACAGCACCCUAUAGCUCCUGUACUCUGCCCCACAGAUCCACAGUGCUGUCCCACAGCACCCUAUAGCUCAUCUGGCCUAUAGACCCACUGUACUACCCUACAAUGCCCCAUGGCUCCUACACUCUGCCCCAUAGACCCACAACACUGCCUCACAACACCCCAUUGCUCCUGCACUCUGCCCCAUGGAUGCCCAGUACUGCCCCACAGCACCAUAUAGGUCCUGUACUCUGCCCCAUAUAUCCACAGGAGUGCCCCCCAGCACCCCAUGGCUCCUGCACUCUGC